UCUUGAAACACGAAUCAACGAAUAAACCCGUAAGGAGCAAGAAAGCUGACCGGCGGGAUCACAAAUUGAAUCAUAAAUAUAUAUAUAUAUAUAAAAUCUGAUGCUAUGAUUUUUACGGGAGUUGUAUGUGAAUGUUAGAAAUAUAUAGAUACCCAACAUGUAAGAUAAUACAAAAGAAAUUUAAGAUAGUAAGCCAAAACUUUAUAUAUAUAUAAAGGAUAACAAGGGAAGAAGGCAGCUCUGACCUAAAUCCAUUUCCAAAAGACAAACUGAAUCCAGCCGACCUGAAGAACAAAGAGCUCUCUCCCUGUAGAAACAAAACGCAGUGUAUGACAACGAAAAAUACAAAAGCAUGACAAAAUCACCAAUCCAUGUGAGAUCCUACUCAGCCACAAAACAAAAACAAGUUAAGGGAUUAUUUCCAACUCAUCUGGUAAACAAAAUUAUCAGACAAAAAGCAAAAAUAAAAAACAAAAAACCACAGCAAACAAAACAAGGAAAGAACACAUUCUUACGUAAUGUCCUAAACACCCAUGAAAAAAACUGCAUAAAAAGCUUUAUUCACAACGCUAUUAUGUAUAUUUCCAUAGUACUGGGGUCGGCUUUAAGAUUGUGAAUUCUCGAGUUUGAGUUGAUUUGUUUAACUAAAACUACUUCCUUCAAUUGAUUUUGCUUCUCCAUGCACCAUCACCACAAUUCCUUAACGCCAUUUUCCGGUCAGCUGCAGCCACUUCAGAGCUGGCUUCCGAAAGGAAAAAACUAGAAAUGUUUGCCACAGAAGGGAAAGUUAGAAUACUCAUUCAUUACAUGUCUCUUUCCAAACACAGACGCUCUCUCUCUCUCUCUCUCUCUAUAUAUAUAUAUAUAUAUAUAUGGAAAACAAACGUGGGUUUUGAGAGAAAAGUGCAAGUAUGAAGAAAGAAAUAUCAACAAGAAAAGCAAAAUCUUCUUGAUCAAAAGCUAUCUAGCAGAGAAAAUUUCUUUCACAUACCUUGGAGCACUGAGCAUUUACAUAAGAAACGCAGGCAAAAGAAAGAAGUUGCAGGGUUUCGUGUCGCAUGGAGAUGGCCCUAGCUGAACCUUUUUAAACAUCAUAAACAAGAUAAUAUGCAAAAGAUCACAGCCAGCGCCAUCCCUCACGCGACAAGGAACCCCCAACUCUUAAUUUUCUACUGUGUUCUCUC
rnacentral:lncRNA from 1 species